AGUGAACGCUGGCGGUAGGCCUAACACAUGCAAGUCGAACGGCAGCACAGGAGAGCUUGCUCUCUGGGUGGCGAGUGGCGGACGGGUGAGGAAUAAAUCGGAAUCUACUCUGUCGUGGGGGAUAACGUAGGGAAACUUACGCUAAUACCGCAUACGACCUACGGGUGAAAGCAGGGGAUCUUCGGACCUUGCGCUAUUGAACGAGCCGAUGUCGGAUUAGCUAGUUUGCGGGGUAAAGGCCCACCAAGGCGACGAUCCGUAGCGGGGCUGAGAGGAUGAUCGACCACACUGGAACUGAGACACGGUCCAGACUCCUACGGGAGGCAGCAGUGGGGAAUAUCGGACAAUGGGCGCAAGCCUGAUCCAGCCAUACCGCGUGGGUGAAGAAGGCCUUCGGUUUGUAAAGCCCUUUUGUUGGGAAAGAAAUCCAGCUGGCUAAUACCCGGUUGGGAUGACGGUACCCAAAGAAUAAGCACCGUCUAACUUCGUGCCAGCCGCCGCCGUAA
rnacentral:rRNA from 1 species